AUUGAACGCUGGCGGCAGGCCUAACACAUGCAAGUCGAACGAGUGGCGGACGGGUGAGUAAUGUCUGGGAAACUGCCUGAUGGAGGGGUAUAACUACUGGAAACGGUAGCUAAUACCGCAUACCAUCGGAUGUGCCCAGAUGGGAUUAGCUAGUAGGUGGGGUAACGGCUCACCUAGGCGACGAUCCCUAGCUGGUCUGAGAGGCGGACCAGCCACACUGGGACUGAGACACGGUCCAGACUCCUACGGGAGGCAGCAGUGGGGAAUAUUGCGCAAUGGGCGCAAGCCUGAUGCAGCCAUGCCGCGUGUGUGAAGAAGGCCUUCGGGUUGUAAAGUACUUUCAGCGGGGAAGCGGUACCCGAAGAAGAAGCACCGGCUAACUCCGUGCCAGCAGCCGCGGUAAUAC
rnacentral:rRNA from 1 species